AGGAAAAGAAACCAAAUGGGAUCCCCUAAGUAAUUGCGAAUGAAAUGGGGUAAGCUCAUUGCAAAGGCCUAUCAAGAACAUUGCUUGAUAUGCAGUGCUGCAUUUAUACAGUGUGAUAAAUGUUGCCUAAGACACAGCUACAUAUUCCUUUGAAUGGGGUCUAUUACCCAUAGACGGUGCUAGGCCGUUAGUUGCUUGUGUUUAUAAGCACAAUCUCCUGUAUAUUAGAGUCAGGUUGCUUGAGAGUGCAACCUAAAAUUGCAGGUAAACUCCUGCAAAAGCUAAAUAUGCUGAUGAUACCGAUA
rnacentral:rRNA from 1 species